rnacentral:lncRNA from 1 species
GUUUGAGAUAAUAUCGUGUCAAAUUUGAUGUGUUGAUAAAGUUUUAUGUGAUAUUUAUAUUUACAUAUUAAGUAUGUAUUCGAAAGAACCAGAAAACGAAGCUAAGUAUAUAUAUCUAACUAUAAGAAAUGAAAAAAUCAUAAAAUAUGUAGAUAUUUAUAUUUGAGAAUGACUACUACAUAUCACAAUCGAAACAAUUUGACACCAUGCUAUAUCUAAAAUGCAUUUUUAUUCUCCACACACUUACCUAAAGAAGAAAAGAAAAGAAAAAAAACAGACUUCAAUUAAGAAACACAAACUCCACAAAAUUUUACACACACCACACGCACAAAAUACAUUUCUAUCUACAUCUUUUUUCAUUUAUUUUAGUAUUUUUUAAAAGAUAACCCAAAAAAUUAGGUAUCAAUUUGUGAUCAUUUUCUAAUACUUCAUAUAAGUCCAC